UCGCCACCUUUAGUGCAUCAAUCACAGCUUCUGAACUUCUCCUGGACCCUUCCUCCACCUCUCCAGGCCGCACCUACAGCUGCUUUGGCUUGUUCUAGUUGGGCACAAAGCAGCCAGAAUGGCCUAUAAGCAGAUUUUCUCUUUGAGAGGCGGAGGAGCUGCUGCACGGCUGCUCCAGGGUGAUCUCCCCGUCCGUCGGAGCGUGCAAGGCCGCGCUGAGGGAGGGGAUCCAGCGCUGGUGCCUGCUGUGCUCUGAUUGUUCUGCACUUCCCAAAGCCGGGAGAAGCAGAGCCUAAUUAGAUCAGCACUGAAGCUUUCUUCCAGUUUGAAAUCAUUUGUCACUUUGACCACUCAUCUUAAACCAGUGGAACUCCAUGAAAUGUUACAAAUUUACAUCAGCCCAGAAAUGAAUAUUGGAUGUGCUUGCUAAACCUGAAGUUCUACAUGUCUGAGGAGGUAAAAGUUCAAGAUGGCAAUGUAAAUCUCAGCAUUGAUUUCAGCCCUUCUUACUCUAACUUGAUGGAAGAGUGAAUGGUACCAAUAAGGAGCACAACACCAUUAACCAGCUGCUGUACAAUCACCAUCUAAAGGACUCUGCACCUUUUGAGAAACUCUGGAUGGGCAUGCAGAAAAUUACUUGAUAAAAGCUGAGAGUCUCAGGUCCUUUCUGAUGUCCCUAUCAAAAUAAGGAUCUUUUAAAUAGGAAGAGGAAGAACUGAGCUGUAAAAAAGGUAUCUGUGGGCAUUUGUCACCUGAGCCUCAGUGUGGAUGAUCCUGCUGUGGUGAUGAUAAACAUAAAGGAGAAACUUGACAUGAUGUUUCCUGUCCAUGUCUGAUUAAGUGUGUUCUACCAGGGGCCAUCCAGCCCAAACCUCCCCAGCUAUUUGUGCAGUAUCUAGUACAGAUCCUUGGGGGGUGGGAAAAUCAGAACAGAGCAAAUAUAGCCUCAGAGAAGGAGCAGUUGGAGCCUGCAGACAAUGUGGAGCAUUACUUCACAGCAGCAAAGCUUGGGCUUGGGACUGAAACCUAAAGAGGGAACAACCUGAUUUGGUGGUGGAAGGAAGAGGAGAGACGGGAUAUGGACCCAGUUUGCCCCUGGAGACCCAGUGGGUUCUGCAGUGCUCACGAUGGGAGGAUGCUGCUGGAUGCUCACCUGGGCUCCUCCUCAGCUCCUGAAGCAUCAGCAUCUUUAAAUCAUCCUGAAUAUUGACUUGGAAAACACGGAAGAUGUGCAGUGUCUGUUACUGAGCUUCAAAAUUUCCUUUAACUGCUACCAAAUUGCUGCUUCACUGGCAACUCUAAUAGACAGUCAUCCCCAGCUAUGAUGAAGUGUGACAGCUUCUCUUUCUUUGCCUAUAAAAUUCUUAAUGGUAGAUAAUCAGAAACUUUUUACUGAGAAACCUUCUUAAGUGUUACUUUCCAUUUCAGUUAUUUAAAGUGGGAUUCUUCUUUUUCAUUUAACUCUGGAUUAUGUAAUUUACCCUGAUGUAACACAGACCAGAACUUCAUCUUGUGGAGGAUGGAAAAGAUGUACAUCUGCACCUACAAGUUAUAUUUCCAAUUGUUGAAACAGUUCAGGGACUUGUUGUUUAAACAAUUUCUUACAUAACAUGUUGAAGUAAUCUCACUGAAAAUUCCUGGUACUGCCAUUUAUUUUCUAUUUCUUAGGCUGACAUCAAUUUCAAAAGCAAAACCAAGAAUUUUUAUAUUUUUAUUUUAAAAGGUAUUUACUUAUGGCUGUUCAAUUAAUGUCCAUCUUGUGUUGUCACAUUUGGUUAUAAAAACCACGGUAUUUUGAUAUAAAAUCACAAAUCAAUCACAAAAUGUUGUGCUACCUUCAAAACGCAGCUUGUCUUCAUUUUUAAGUUAAGUGUGGGCUGUGUUUAGUGGUGUCAUGGUUUCACCACCCUGCAGCUGCUCUUCCAUGAGUUCCUUAAACAUCUUGAGCCCAUCAGGCCACAAAAAACCACCACAAGUGGAGUAAAAGUUUUGGCUCCACCUUGAUGUAUUUGCCAGUUUUAUGCCUGUUGUCAACCUGGGUUUUUUUGUUCCUUAAUGAGUCCAUGUAUUGUUGUCUAUUGUUCUUCAUCUUCCCGUAAGGGAAAAACAGAGGCAAUUAUAACUUAAUAACAUUCUCUGUGCUAAGAAUGUGUGGUGACAGAUAAUGAAGUCCAAUAUCCCGAUCUGAUUACAAGUUGCUCUUUAGAUGGGGGACAAAUAACUACAAGAUGGCAAUGUCAGAGCAAGGAACACUUACACGAUGAAAUAUUAAUGAAAAUACAUUGCACUUAUGUCUCAAUGACAUCUAAAUGGGAAUCAGUUAUCAGAUCUUGAGUGUUUGCUACAAAUUUCUACUCUGCAAAAGGAAAAAAAAAUAAAAAAUCCAAUGAACUUUAAAAAUGUCAGCCAGCAGGGCUUUCAAAUACAUAAUUUACUAGUUUGUUGGCUUCCUAUAAAUGGAUAAUAAUAAACUCCUAGCUAAAAGCAAGCUCAUAAAUGCUGAAUCAAAAAUGGGAAGAACACCAUGAAAUGAUAGAUGUGGAGCUGCAUGGUGGUGAUUUUCUUGUAAGGAGAAAUUGUAGCUGUGCUGUUAAAGCUGUGAAUGGAAAGCUUGACAGAGCAAUGUUUCCUUCCACACUGAAGGAUCUGUGCCCCCCUUUCUGCAUUGCUGCAGAAAUGCAGGAGCAGCAGUGCUGGAAUUGCAGCUUAAGUUUGAUGGACUUCCCUGAGCGUGAUAUUUUCAUAGCCUGCCUAGUUAGGCUCGCCUCUUUGAUACACUCUCAUACUUAUUUAUUUAAACAUAUGAAAAAUAGACUGAUCUAUUAAUCAGGGGGCAGAAUGAAGUCAUUUCUCAUGGAGAAGUUUUAAUCUUAAUCAAAAAUUGACCUAUGUGUUCUACGUUAAAAAGGCAUAUAUUAUUGAAUGGUAUUAAUAGAACCUUUAAUGUUAAAAUAUUUGAUACCAGCCAAAAUUAGAUUCUAUUUUAAGCCAGUACUCUGGGCUGAAUGAGGAUGAAAGGCUCUCGUUUUUUGGUUUGAUUUUAAUAGCAGCCAGACUGGAGUUGAAAGGCUCUGUUCUGCUGCUCAGGCUCCUCGUGCUGCCUGACACUACAGCCUCAUCUCCAUGCAGCCCCAUCUCCCUUGCUGGGUGCAUUCUGUUAAAGCAGGAGGUGAGACCUGACCUGGGCAGAGCAGUGAAUGGAAGAAAGCUUAAAAGUGCUCAGGUCAUGGGGACUGUUCAGUCUUUCAUUUGGAUAAAUUCGUCUGAGGCUCUAAAAUACCAUUACAGGGCUCCAGUGGGUUUGGACUGUGAGCUGGAGCUACAACCUCAGGAAAGCCCUGCUCAGGUUGGAGGGUUGGGAGCAGCCACACAGGCUCUGGGCAGCUCCUGUGGGAGGAUUCCUGGAUUUGGGAGAGGGAGAUUUCCAGCCUCAUCUCUUCUGGAAUCGGUUCCAGUAUAUGCCUUAGGAAUGGGCAGUCAGAGCCACGCUGGGACAUUUGGGUACAGCAUGGAUUCAGUUAGAAAAGGUUAAGAAAUUCUUUCUUCAAGGGUUUAUAUUGCAUCAAAACAAAAAAAAAGUCCCCAAACAAACUAAAUGUUUGGCACAAAACCAUUUAGGUAAAUUGCAUUUAUGUAAAAUAAACCCAGGAAGUGUAAAACUAACUGAUAAUUAGAACAAUUUUUGCAGGUUUAUAUUUAAAAAAAAAAGUCUUAAAGCUCAGAAAUUUAGUCUUAAACAAAGGAACUGACUUAAUUAAAACACUGUAAUAAUGAUGA